GUCCUCUUGUUAAUAUUUUGAGGUCUGGUCUGCUCACUGAAAGUUUUUAAUAGCCGCGGUAUUUUGACCGUGCAAAGGUAGCAUAAUAAUUAGUCUUUUAAUUGAAGGCUGGAAUGAAUGGUUUGACGAGAAAUUAACUGUCUCUUAAUAAUUUGUAGAAUUUAACUUUUAAGUUAAAAGGCUUAAAUUUUGUUUUAGGACGAGAAGACCCUAUAGAGCUUAACAUAAAUAUUAUAUUUAGUUUUUAGUUAAUCUUUCCAUAUUUAGUAGUAAUGUUUUGUUGGGGUGAUAUGAAGAAUAAAUAAACUUUUCAUUUUAAAAUCAUUGAUUUAUGUUUAUCUUGAUCCAUAAUUUAUGAUCAUAAGAUUAAGUUACCUUAGGGAUAACAGCGUAAUUGUUUUUGAGAGCUCAUAUCAACAAAAUAGAUUGCGACCUCGAUGUUGGAUUAAGAUUAGUUUUAGGUGCAGUAGUCUAAUAACUAGGUCUGUUCGACCUUUAAAUUCUU
rnacentral:rRNA from 1 species